UGGGGAAUAUUGCACAAUGGGCGCAAGCCUGAUGCAGCCAUGCCGCGUGUAUGAAGAAGGCCUUCGGGUUGUAAAGUACUUUCAGCGGGGAGGAAGGGAGUAAAGUUAAUACCUUUGCUCAUUGACGUUACCCGCAGAAGAAGCACCGGCUAACUCCGUGCCAGCAGCCGCGGUAAUACGGAGGGUGCAAGCGUUAAUCGGAAUUACUGGGCGUAAAGCGCACGCAGGCGGUUUGUUAAGUCAGAUGUGAAAUCCCCGGGCUCAACCUGGGAACUGCAUCUGAUACUGGCAAGCUUGAGUCUCGUAGAGGGGGGUAGAAUUCCAGGUGUAGCGGUGAAAUGCGUAGAGAUCUGGAGGAAUACCGGUGGCGAAUGCGGCCCCCUGGACGAAGACUGACGCUCAGGUGCGAAAGCGUGGGGAGCAAACAGG
rnacentral:rRNA from 1 species